rnacentral:sRNA from 1 species
CCCACUUUUGAAGGCCUGUCCAGCUUUGUUGACUGUCACUGAGCAAGUGGAGGAAACCGACUGACUACCUCUCCACCUCAUUCUGACCUGAAUGAGUCAACUCUGAGAUCUCACUGGACAAACCACGGAUGGAUACACAAAGGAUGCCUAGUAAUGGAAGCACCAAGGGAGAGUGUCAUAUGAAGAUGAAGGUGGCCAUCUACGAGCCAAGGACAGACAAGCACCUGGCCUGCUGAUACUCUGAUGUUGGACUUCCAGCCUCCGUAAGCACAGGAACAUGAUUAUGUGCUGCUGGGGAC